rnacentral:rRNA from 1 species
UGGGGAAUUUUGGACAAUGGGGGAAACCCUGAUCCAGCCAUCCCGCGUGUGCGAUGAAGGCCUUCGGGUUGUAAAGCACUUUUGGCAGGAAAGAAACGUCAUGGGUUAAUACCCCGUGAAACUGACGGUACCUGCAGAAUAAGCACCGGCUAACUACGUGCCAGCAGCCGCGGUAAUACGUAGGGUGCAAGCGUUAAUCGGAAUUACUGGGCGUAAAGCGUGCGCAGGCGGUUCGGAAAGAAAGAUGUGAAAUCCCAGAGCUCAACUUUGGAACUGCAUUUUGAACUACCGGGCUAGAGUGUGUCAGAGGGAGGUGGAAUUCCGCGUGGAGCAGUGAAAUGCGUAGAUAUGCGGAGGAACACCGAUGGCGAAGGCAGCCUCCUGGGAUAACACUGACGCUCAUGCACGAAAGCGUGGGGAGCAAACAGG